rnacentral:rRNA from 1 species
UGGGGAAUUUUGGACAAUGGGCGAAAGCCUGAUCCAGCAAUGCCGCGUGUGUGAAGAAGGCCUUCGGGUUGUAAAGCACUUUUGUCCGGAAAGAAAUCCUUGGCUCUAAUACAGUCGGGGGAUGACGGUACCGGAAGAAUAAGCACCGGCUAACUACGUGCCAGCAGCCGCGGUAAUACGUAGGGUGCAAGCGUUAAUCGGAAUUACUGGGCGUAAAGCGUGCGCAGGCGGUUUGCUAAGACCGAUGUGAAAUCCCCGGGCUCAACCUGGGAACUGCAUUGGUGACUGGCAGGCUAGAGUAUGGCAGAGGGGGUAGAAUUCCACGUGUAGCAGUGAAAUGCGUAGAGAUGUGGAGGAAUACCGAUGGCGAAGGCAGCCCCCUGGGCCAAAUACUGACGCUCAUGCACGAAAGCGUGGGGAGCAAACAGGAUUAGAUACCCUGGUAGUCCAGCGCCCUAAACGAUGUCAACUAGUUGUUGGGGAUUCAUUCCUUAGUAACGUAGCUAACGCGUGAAGUUGACCGCCUGGGGAGUACGGUCG